CAACACACAGGAUUAUGUCACCGGAAGUAUUAUUGCAUAUGAGUGAUGUCACCCACCACAUCCAGUGCUCUUCUCACUGACCACCAAUGAAAGAGGUGCCCCUUCUGGAAGUGUGGUGGGGGCUGGAUAAAUGGCCUCAGGGGGCUGUGGUUUGGGGAACCCUGCCUUAGAGGCUCACUAAGAAAAAAAGAAAGAAAUGGGGUGAUGACUAGAGGCAACAAGGCAGCAGGAUUCACAGAUUGCCUGGAUUCUAUUCAAAGACCUGUGGAGGACAGGACAAUGAAAUCAAGACACAAAGAGGUUAAAUAAUUUGCCCAUGAUCAUAAAGCUAUCAGACACUAAGAAGGGAAGACACUGAAACAGAGAGACUUAAUGCCACAGCAGCCUCAGAGCUAUCAAUCAACAGUUCUUUAUUAAGUGAUAGAGGCAAGUAAAGCUAUUGAGAGAGCAGGCCACCUCAUACUCCUUUG
rnacentral:lncRNA from 1 species